rnacentral:rRNA from 1 species
CCUACGGGGGGCUGCAGUGGGGAAUAGUCUACAAUGGACGAAAGUCUGAUAGUGCGACGCCGCGUGAACGAAGAAGCCCUUCGGGGUGUAAAGUUCUUUUAUAUGUGAGCAAUGCUUCUUAUAUGAAUAGUAUGAGGAGAGAGAUAUUAGCAUAUGAAUAAGCAACGGCUAACUCCGUGCCAGCAGCCGCGGUAACACGGGGGUUGCAAGCGUUGUCCGGAAUUACUAGGCGUAAAGGGCAGGUAGGCGGAUAGAUAAGUUUGAUGUUUAAGGCAGCGGCUCACCCGCUGUACGGCAUUAGAUACUGUUUAUCUGGAAUACGGUUGGGGAAGACAGAAUUCCUGGUGUAGCGGUGGAAUGCGCAGAGAUCAGGAGGAAUACCAAAGGCGAAGGCAGUCUUCUAAGCCGUUAUUGACGCUAAACUGCGAAGGUGUGGGUAUCAAACAGGAUUAGAUACCCGUGUAGUC